rnacentral:SRP_RNA from 9 species
GCCAGGCAUGGUGGUGCACACCUGUGGUCCUGGCUACUUGAGAGGCUGAAAUGGGAGGAUCACUUAAGCCCAGAAGUUCGAGGCUGCAGUGAGGUAUGAUCCCACCACUAUACUCCAGCAUCUGCAAUAGAGUGAAACCCUAUUUUUC